GACGAACGCUGGCGGCGUGCCUAAUACAUGCAAGUUGAGCGCUGAAGGUUGGUACUUGUACCAACUGGAUGAGCAGCGAACGGGUGAGUAACGCGUGGGGAAUCUGCCUUUGAGCGGGGGACAACAUUUGGAAACGAAUGCUAAUACCGCAUAAAAACUUUAAACACAAGUUUUAAGUUUGAAAGAUGCAAUUGCAUCACUCAAAGAUGAUCCCGCGUUGUAUUAGCUAGUUGGUGAGGUAAAGGCUCACCAAGGCGAAGAUACAUAGCCGACCUGAGAGGGGGAUCCGCCACAUUGGGAAUGGGACACGGCCCAAACCCCUACGGGAGGCAGCAGUAGGGAAUCUUCGGCAAUGGACGAAAGGCUGACCGAGCAAAGCCGCGGGAGGGAAGAAGGUUUUCGGAUCGGAAAACUCUGUUGGUAGAGAAGAACGUUGGUGGGAGUGGAAAGCUCAUCAAGUGACGGUAACUACCCAGAAAGGGACGGCUAACUACGUG
rnacentral:rRNA from 1 species